GGUUUCGUGGUGUAGUUGGUUAUCACAUUUGUCUAACACACAAAAGGUCCCCAGAUUGAGCCUGGGCGAAAUCA
rnacentral:tRNA from 1 species